GAGUAAACCAGUGCCGGUGAAAGGGCUAGGGAAGAGCAACGCCGGAGGCUGCAGGAGGGGACGGGGUGGGUUGACGAAGGGCGCUUUCGUUGCUUGGGUAGUAGUAGUUUAGGCCGCUGGCUAGGCAGUAGGAGGAGGAGCGCCAGCGUCGCGGUAAUUUUAAGGAGGGUGAGGGUAAGGGGGCGGAGGGCAUAGGGCGUCGAUGUCGAUCGACCUCCUAAAACGCAGGUGCGGACGGGGUGAGGAGCGGGUCAGGGUCAGGGUCAGGGGAAGUGAAGGUGCGCUUCUUCUAAAAUAUAAGGACGUAUUAGGGGGUCCGCUAGCCUAAAGGGUACAACCUUCGAACGCGCCUCAUCAAAGAGGUAAAAGUUAACCCAAAAAUAACGAAACGAAGAAGAAAGGGGGUGCGAAGGAGGAGGAGCUGCGCUCCGGCACUAGCCCUAGCACGCUGGUGACACGGAUAAAUCCAGCGGCCCUAGCGACCAGGCCAUCGGCCGCGGCGAGCUUUAACCUAGGAAAAUGGAGCCAAAGCACAGCGGCGCUCCGAGGCAGCAAGUAACCGAACAGGCGAAUGAUAUAGAGCGCAUUUCUAGUCAAAACCGAAACGACGGCCCUCACCCAACCAGUUGUGCUAAACCCCUAAAAAUGUCAGCUUGUUUCCAACGAAGACGACUAUUAGGCUCGAGCGAAAAAGAUGGCUCGAGUCAAGCUCUAACUUUAGCUCGACCUCAAAAGGUAAAAGACUGGAGCGGCCUCAGCGGCUCACUGAAGUAAAGUCAGCAGUUACCUCCUCAGGCCCCUCCGCUCGUAGCCCGGGAAGUCCUAGCCGGGCAGCUGCGAGGAGCCGGCACCGCGGCGCGAGGCGCACGAGGACGAGUCGAGCGAGACCGCGGACGCCCGGGCCCGCGCGCGGCGCUGCUCGCGGCGCGAGACCGCACGCGCGCCCCGGCGCGACGGGUACCGCCGCAGGACCGACGUGGAGUCCUUGUGGGUGCCGCAGGAGGAGCGCCAGCACGAGGAGCCCGACGAGGAGUCCUUCGAGAGGCCCCGCGCGAGCGCCGACCGCGACCGCGCGGCCGCAGUCGAGACGUUCUCGCGCUACGCCAUGCGCCCCUGGAUGCUCCUCACCCACGCGCGGCGGUUCCACGAGCUGUCUUACUGGCUGGUCCAGUUACUCAGCCUGAAGAUGCUGCAACUCAACUAGCCCUCGUCCGAGCUGCUCGAGGCCGCAGCCUCCCUCCUCCCCAGCGAGGCCCUGCACCACAAGACGUACGCGCCGCUAGAGCAGUCCUUGAACCCCUUGUACACAUUAGGACUCGACGUGUUUCCGUCCAACCUCCACGGAUCCGAUUAUUUUCUAAAGUAACUGCUCCAAAGCUGAGUUGACUUUUACCACACACUUAGACUAUGUCUACUUAAUGAAAACCUUCUCUUCGAACGGAAACAAGUCCUUUGGUCUGUACGGAAACCUUCCUGACGCGAUGAGAAUUCACCCCCACGAAGUGACCCCAGUAAGGUACAUCCACAUCACUUUUGAAACCAACUCGUAUUCGAAGAAGGAGCCUAUCACCGUCCUAGCUCACACCCAAGGUAAUAUACGAGUUAACAGCGAUGGGCCUGUACCGGACUCUAACUCUCGAAGAAGUAUCUGAGUGAUGUCUAGAAUUUCAAGAAACUAUCCUAUCCACCUCAAAAACGACAAUGUUUUGCCCAAUACUGAAUACCACGUGAAGUACUGUAAUCGGUCUACGUUUCCGAAAACUCCCUAGAGUGUUCAUUGAAUUGUAAAGUUCUCCGAAUGCUGUAUUGACCGGCACAAGAACCCCAGUGACAAACGAGAGGAUCUUUCUUACUCGGUGGAGCGACGGAGUUGAUGGACUGUAGUGGUGUACAACAGUAAACCUCACGACAUUGACGGAGAACACGUAAGGGCCCGGAGAAACUUCGAGUCCUCGACUACCGUUUCCUAUCUAAACCGGUGUAUCAAGGGAAGGUACGAGGGAAACGGUGUCUAGGUCUUGUUCCAGGACCUCGUAGGUUUGCGGCCACCUCCCUGCCUUCAGACCUCUACCUAAACGGUUACUACGUUGACUUCCUCAACAAGUUACAUUUAGUAAAGUAACACUCGGUUUGAUUAGGAGUGUAGAGAGGUGAGGAGGCUUACUUCCUCUAGCAGUCUCGGAUACCUCCGGCGAAACGGCCUUUCGAACGAGCAGAACGACUCUACCUCCACUUCAUAGCUACAUUAGUUCAAGACCUUUAACCGGAGGGUGACCCUCCUGAACGUUUCAACAAACGAGUCCUAACCCUUCCACUACAGUGGUACCAAUACGGUCGUUGUCAUCGAGUCAUGAACUUCUAAUAUGUUUUGGGCUGUAUAGGUCUCGAGGUUUACCGACGGUUGGUCCCAGCGUCCACGUGUACCCUCUUCUAGAGACGCUAGUCUCGUUUGACACGUUAACUUGAACGUAACCUACUUAGGUAUCGUCGGGAGUUGGUGUUUGCUUCCGAUUCUUCUUCGUAACUUUCCCGUCGUCGAAGAAGGGUCCCUAUAUGGCUGUUACAAGCUCAGUUUUGUGGUUCCUCCCAUGGUAGUACCUCGACGUAUUCAGCUCUCUUAAGUAGUCCUAGAGAGAGUCUUCUAGUGAAGCGCCGGCGGUAAAGUAGGUUAGUGGUUCCAUGAUAAGCUCAACUACCACGUGGUUCGUGCAGAGUAGUACAAGCAGUAUCCAGUGUACUGCCUUCACUCUCGCUUAGUCUCUGGUAGCUGGAUUUAAGUACCUGGUCCUCACCGCCCGGGGACUACUCCUGAAGUAGUCGACUGGUCAAGUAGUUGAAAUAGGUCUUAGAGCUCUAACUCAGGCUCAAACUACCCCAAGUAUGUUAUCUCCCACCGUUACGUCCAUAAAAGUGUCCUGGGUGUAAAGGAUCUCUAGGUAUAGGUUGGUUGUAAAGGUCUCGAUGAUGUGGUCUGCCGGGUCUAUCUACGUGUCUCCAAAGACUUUGUCUCAGUACGUUGUCAUGAUCGUUGCAUUCGUAGCGACACAGACUUCCUCUAGACGACGUUGGACCCUCCUGAUGGUUGCCCUAAGAUGAAUUAAAACAGUCUUCUCUUCUAGACUAACGAGCCGUAUUGCCGCUACGACUGCACCGGCUCUCGAGGAAUGGAGUUCGUAUACACCUGUCUUGUGUAAGUCUUAGCCCACUGCGGUAGAGUCGACGAAGACUGUCGAGACUUCUAUUGUUUCUACACCGACUGAGCCUGUUAGGGAGCCAAAGAGUAUGUCUAAAACAUUGAGGCGGAGUUGGGAGACAACUGCUAUUGCUUCUACGAUUCGAUCUAAAAUUUAUUAAGAAUUACCAAACCACGUCGUUGUUACUACAUGCAUAUACUAUUAACGUCACAGAUAAAUCUCUCGUGACGACUGUCGUCGUAUAGACAACACACUUCAUCUACUAACCAUGACUACUAUGUAACUAUCUUCGGAAAGAACCGCAGCUGUAUUUACCUUAAGUCACAAACAACAUGGUGUCCGAGAUGGACCAGUUCUAAGAAGACUUGAUUUG
rnacentral:rRNA from 1 species